AUGGCUGUCGUCAGCUCGUGUCGUGAGAUGUUCGGUUAAGUCCGGCAACGAGCGCAACCCUCAUCUUCAGUUACUAACAGGUUAUGCUGAGAACUCUGGAGAAACUGCCGUUGGAAAAGCGGAGGAAGGCGAGGAUGACGUCAAGUCCUCAUGGCCCUUAUGGGCUGGGCUACACACGUGCUACAAUGGUAAUUACAAUAGGUCGCGAAAAGGCAACUUUGAGCUAAUCUUCAAAAAUUAUCUUAGUUCGGAUUGUUCUCUGAAACUCGAGAGCAUGAAGUUGGAAUUGCUAGUAAUCGUGGAUCAGCAUGCCACGGUGAAUACGUUCCCGGGUCUUGUACACACCGCCCGUCACACCAUGGGAGUUGGUUUUACCUGAAGCCGAUUUUUAAAUCGUCCACGGUAAGGUCAGCGACUGGGGUGAAGUCGUAACAAGGUAGCCGUAGGGGAACCUGCGGCUGGAACACCUCCUUUCUAAGGAGAAAUAAAUUUAAAGUUUUUUUUAAAACUUUAAAUAAUAUUGUGUACUUUCGUCGCCUACUAAUCCCUUCUUACUUAAUAAAAAAAUAAGUUAAACUUACUCACGUUUUUCCUAUAUUUUGUUAUACUCUUAAAAUCAAAUUGUUGUGUAAGUUGGGGGUGUAGCUCAGUUGGGAGAGCGCCUGCUUUGCAAGCAGGAGGUCGUCGGUUCGAUCCCGAUCACCUCCACCAAAUGCUACGGGCCGGUAGCUCAGUUGGUUUAGAGCGCGCGCUUGAUAAGCGUGAGGUCGGAAGUUCAAGUCUUCCUCGGCCCACCAAAAAAAUUUUUUCUUAUUUUUGUAAGAAGUUUGUUUUUGUAAAUUGUAAAUAUGUAUCCAACCAAAUUAAUUGAUAAUAAUAAUGAGAAUAUCAAUUUCAUUAAUGUAUGAAAAAUAUACGAAUUUUUUUUCUGCACGUUUAAAGAAUCAAGUGUCUAAGAGCAUAUGAUGGAUGCCUUGGCAUUGAGAGGCGAUGAAGGACGUAGCAGGCUGCGAUAAGCCACGGGGAGGCGCCAACACCCUUUGAUCCGUGGAUUUCCGAAUGGGGAAACCCGG
rnacentral:sRNA from 1 species